rnacentral:lncRNA from 1 species
CAGAUUUACUAAAUCCAACUAUCAUGACUCCUCUUUUUACCGUUUCAAAAGAUCAGUCCGAAUGCUCCCUCCAUCUUCCUUCCGGAUCAAUUUCACUAUGAUUUCUCCCUUCUCGAACCAGGUAAUCCCCUUCCCUCCUCUGUAAUGCAUCUUUUGCUAUAUUGUGGGCUUGAACAUUUUUCGAUCUGUAAAUAAAUUGAAAGCUCACCUCUGGUAUACUGGUUCUUUUUUUUUGUAUAUCUUGAAUGAUUACUCCCAGAACUGAUUUGUCAACUAUUUCCGAUUGGCAUUUUUUGACAACUGUUCUCGAGUCUCCUUGUAUUAUUACUGAAGAUAAACUCAUUUCAAUUGCUAAUUUGACGGCCUCUAACACUGCAUGAGCUUCUGCUAUAAAUGAGGAGGAGAUAUUUUCAUGGAGAAUCGCCCUUUCAACUAUUCUCUCACCUUGUUGAUCGUGAGCCACUAACCCCGAUGUCGAUCUGAAAUUUGUAUGUAAAAAAAUUGCUUAAACUCCGAAUUCCUUUAUGAUUUAAAAAUAAUCCCAUUAUUACUAUCUAAUCCAAAUUUGAAUUAAAUAUUAUUAAGAAUAAUUAUCAAAAUUAUACAUGAACUUUGGUUCAAUAUAUAAUAUCAUACAUUAAUUUUGAUUUUGUUCGAUUUUAUACAUAAAAUUUUGGUUUGAUUCAAUUUUCAUAAAUUAUUAACAAUCGAAAUAACACGACUUUACAUGGAUAUACUGCAUAUACAAAUAAUUAUAUUAACCCAAUAUGAAAAUAAAUGUAUGCAUCCAUUUCUUUAAAUAUGCACAAUUGAAUCAAAAUCAAAGUUUCAUAUAUACAUAUAAACUACAUGUCAAAUUAUAUAUAUAUAAUUACAUCAAAUCAAAAUUCAUGCAUCAAAAUAUACAUUAAACCAAAAUUCAUAUAUAAAUUUAAUAUUUAUCUAAAUAACAUUAUCCUCAAAAUAUUCAAAUCCACAAAUGAUGAUUGUCCAAUUAAUAUAUCUUUUUGUACAUAUUCAUGCUUGAGUAGUCUGCUUUUAGUAUUUCUAGGAUGCCACUAGUUAUGUUGGAUUUUAUUUGAGAUUAUUUUUGGGUGAAAUAUUUUAUUGUUAUAUUAAAACUAAUAAAAAAUUGAAUAGACAAAAUUUGAUAAAAUAUUCAAAUUGUACUUUGUAUUCAUUUUAAAUUACAUUUCAUUAUGAUUUAAACUGUUAUUUUUAUUAUUAUAUUGAAACAAAAUAAAAAAAAUUAAAUAGAUAAAUUUAAAUAAAUAUUGAAUUAUACUUUAUUACAAUAUUAAAUUAUAUUUUCAUUAUAAUUUAAACUAUUCAAGCUUAUAAAUAAACAAUAUCAUAUUAUUUCUUAAUUAAACAUAAUAAAUAUUAUUAUAUUAAAACUAAAAAAUUUAAUAAAUAUUAAAUUACACUUUUAUAUUCAUGUUGAAUUUAGCAAUUUAAACUAUUAAUUCAAUUCUUAUAUUAACACUAAAUAAAAAUUUUGAAUAGUUGAAAUGUGAUGAAUAUUAAAUAAUAUAAAUUCAUCGAAAUUUAGUUUUUAAUUCUACAAACUGAAAUAAUGAAAGGAUUAAUAUUUGAUGCAUUGAUAGUGUAUAAUUUUAUGCAUCAUCGUCAAUGAAUCAAAUGAUAAUACCUACAAUAUUUAAAAAUAAAUCUAGUUAAUGCAUAAAAAAGAUAAAAAUAAAUUUUAUAUCAAGUUUAAAAACCCUAAAUAAACUCGAACUAAUUUUGAGGGUCAUAGAUGAUUAAAAAAAAAGUUCUUGAAAUAUUGAAUUUUUGCUAAACAUGAAAAGAUUAGAUGAUUGUUCUCAUUGAAAUGUAAAAAAAAUUGACAGAUCAUUUAGCAAAAUUAUUAGCCUUGCAAUCUAGAGUAAAAGUGUAACACCCUUAACCCGUGUCUGCUGCCAGAAUAGGGUUUCGGAGCAUUACUACCAUAUGCAGAUCACUUAAAAAAAUAAAUUUAAAUACUUACCGAUUCAAUGCAUCAUAUAAAUAAAUAUAUUACCAUUCAAUCAACAGUUUGGUACUUGUAUAAGCAUCAAAACAACAACAUUGUUAGUAUACUUGCACAUAUCAUAUAAAUUCAACAUUGAUAUAUCUAUUUUCUUGAUAUAUCGCACUUGAGUUUAAUAAUAGUCUCAUCUUACAUAAUUUUCUUGUAUCAGCAUAUCAAAAAUAAUCAUAUAUGUACAUGUCAUGAAACAUAUCAUGCUCUUACCGUUUCUUCAUAAGCAUAUAUUAUUCAUUUCAUUAUAUCAGUAUUUCAUACUCCAUCAUUUUCAUAUAUUUUAUAUAUAUUUAUUCCGGUAAUAGCUUAUAUCUUAACAUAAAUUAUAUUUCAUGUACUUAUACUUAUUUCGUUUAUCUAUCUUCAUAAUUAUUUCAUACAACUAUUUUGUACAUAUAUUUCUAUAUUACUAGUUCUUGUAAACAUUUCACACAAUCAUUUCAUAUAAUCAUUCGUCAUCUGAUACAUAUUACCUGAAUAUCAAUUGUUCAACAGAUGUCAUAGCGUCUCCCAUUCACGGUCUUAUUUAUCUUUGACAUUAUGCCAUAGUGUCUUUCAACUAUAGUGUUACUCAUUUUCUGUCAUGUUGCCAUGGUAUCUUUUAACCAUGGUCAAGUAUUUAAGAAUAUAAUUCAAGUUAUACAAACUUACCUCAUUGCUUGUUUGUGUUUAUAAUUUCAUUAAUUCGAUAUCUUUUCU